AUAUCUGCAAGUGAUGAGUAUUUUCAUAAUAAAUGAAUCAGGUAAUUAGUGUUGUGGAUCUGUUGGGUUUCAGAUGUUAGAUGUUGUAUCUGAGCUCUGCAGGAUAGUGCUUGAAGAUCUCCGCUUUACACUUCAGGCCACAAUAGAUUCUAUGCACGAACUCUGCUGACGUAUUUCCGGUAGAAAAUAAGCCUGUUUCUUUGCUUCCGCAUAACGUGUUCUAAAGUGAAAUCUUACAGCGGCGAAACCUAAACACGUUCGGAGCAUGGCAAACAAGGGAGAUUUACACAUAAAUUAGUGAGGAUCCUGUGCCAGUGGUUGCCCAGCAUCUGGAACAUCAUUAUUGUUCAGUUCCACAACGAACGGCAGAUGAUUAAUGCACCGGAUCAGGCUGACAAGUCUCCGUGAGGAGGUGGAGAGACUGCUUCCCUGCUGCUUUUGGUGUUAUACAGCUCUAAAGGUACACAACUUGCAUCCUACAACAUCCAGAGUAAGCGCAACUGUGAGGGAGACAUCGUCCAUGGCAUGGCUGAGGGUCCACACUGAGCAUCUCAUCCGCAGCAUGAAGCAACACAAGCUGGACAGUCAUCAUCUUUUUCUAUUACACCAAGCACCAACCAGAUUUAUACAAUGGCCUGCCUUCUGCGCAUUAGUAAAAGCUUGAGCUAAAUAAUAAAGUGUUCACACACUGUACAUAAUUUAUAUGUUGUUGUCUGCACUGCAGGAAUGUAAAGUUGUCUAUAUAAUAAACAUUAAUUUUCAGCAUAUUCAUUUAAACAUAUAUUACAGAACAAUUUGAGUGAACAAUUGCUCUAACUAAUGUAAAUAUAAAUCAUUUUAGAUACUUGCACUGCAGGUGUAAAUAAGCAGGGUAUUAUGUGCAUAGAGAAAUAUGCAAUGCUUACCUCCAUCAAAUGUACUGCCUCUGUCUUUUGACAAAAAUCAGGCAGGCAACUACCGUCAGACCCCAAGUGAUGCUCAAGCACUGGUUGUAUUUAAUUACAUUUAAUCUUAGCCUUUUUAAAAACGAAUGUUUUUAAUAAAAGAUUACAAGAAUAAUGCAAAAUGCAUUUGUUUCAAGUCACAAAAAUGUAAUGAAUGGGAUACUAACUCCAACUCAUUUUGAACAAGGAAAACCCUUAAAAUAUGUAAAUAUAAGUAACUAGACACUUGCACUGCAGUAUAAAUAUAUACAGUUUGACACAAUUUUAAACAUUUCCCUUACAGCGAUGUGUUAAAAUACAACAUUAAACAAUUGUUAAAUAA